UCAUCUACAUAUUUGCCAAUAGAAAAUGACACUUUACAUUGCUUGGUUACCUUUGCCUCGCCGCUAUCAUUCAACCACUGAAGUCUGUAAGGAUUAGGGUGUUUAAUAGUUUCUAGUCCUAAUUUAUCAACUAAAAUAGUACUAGCACAAUUAACUUGACUACCCGAAUCUAUUAUCAUGCUACAGACUUUACCACCAACCAAACAACGAGUGUGAAAGAUGUUUUCACG
rnacentral:lncRNA from 1 species